rnacentral:rRNA from 1 species
AUUCUGGGCGUAAGCGCGCGUAGGUGGCUAAGUCAGCCAGGUGUGAAAGCCCCGGGCUCAACCUGGGAACGGCAUCUGGAACUGCUUGGCUAGAGUGCAGGAGAGGAAGGUAGAAUUCCCGGUGUAGCGGUGAAAUGCGUAGAGAUCGGGAGGAAUACCAGUGGCGAAGGCGGCCUUCUGGACUGACACUGACACUGAGGUGCGAAAGCGUGGGUAGCAAACAGGAUUAGAUACCCUGGUAGUCCACGCCGUAAACGAUGUCAACUAGCCGUUGGGUCCCUUGAGGACUUAGUGGCGCAGCUAACGCAAUAAGUUGACCGCCUGGGGAGUACGGCCGCAAGGUUAAAACUCAAAUGAAUUGACGGGGGCCCGCACAAGCGGUGGAGCAUGUGGUUUAAUUCGAUGCAACGCGAAGAACCUUACCUACCCUUGACAUCCAGAGGACUUUCCAGAGAUGGAUUGGUGCCUUCGGGAACUCUGAGACAGGUGCUGCAUGGCUGUCGUCAGCUCGUGUUGUGAAAUGUUGGGUUAAGUCCCGUAACGAGCGCAACCCCUAUCCUUAUUUGCCAGCGAGUAAUGUCGGGAACUCUAAGGAGACUGCCGGUGACAAACCGGAGGAAGGUGGGGACGACGUCAAGUCAUCAUGGCCCUUACGGGUAGGGCUACACACGUGCUACAAUGGCAAGUACAAAGGGUUGCAAUACUGCGAAGUGGAGCCAAUCCCAUAAAGCUUGCCUCAGUCCGGAUUGGAGUCUGCAACUCGACUCCAUGAAGUCGGAAUCGCUAGUAAUCGUGGAUCAGAAUGCCACGGUGAAUACGUUCCCGGGCCUUGUACACACCGCCCGUCACACCAUGGGAGUGGACUGCACCAGAAGUGGUUAGCCUAACCUUCGG